AUUCUACUCCCUCCGUUCCAUAAUACAUGCCUUCUAUUUGUCAAAAUAUAGAUGUAUCUAGACAUGUUUUAGUAUAUAGGUACAUCCAUUUUUGGACAAAUGGAAGUCAAGUAUUUUGGAACGGAGGGAGUACACA
rnacentral:pre_miRNA from 1 species